UUUUUUUGAAAGAUGUGUGAAGGAUAGUUAAUGUGAGGAAACCAACUACACUAAAAGGUUAGAAACUAUCAUUAAAGGAAAAUAAUGGCAGGAGAUAAGUGCUACAUGUGCUGGACAAAAUAAUGUAGUACAAAAGAUGGUUUAUUUUUCACUUUUUAUGUUUGUUGGCUGUCUGUGCUCGUUUUAUUGUAGGGAUUUAUCAUUUAUGACAUUGAGUGAUUGAGCUCUAUGAUUUAUGUCGGACUUAGAGGCCCUUGCUGAAAAUUGUGUGUUUUGUGUAGCAGCUGUUAACUGAUUUAUAUAUCCUAAAGCCUAUGAUUUUAUCUAUAACCAGGAUUCGGCGGAAGGUGGAACCAGAGCCCAUCUAUGUAUCUUAAAAUGACCUGAAAGUCGAUGUCUAGCUCGUGUGGUUCGGCAUCUCAAGCUGACACAUCGAUAUCCUUUACAGAACUCAAAGCCUCGCUGUAAUUUUUAUUGAUUUCUGCAGUUUUAGGUUCGAAUAAUGCAGAUAACUAGAAAUGUGGUUGCACUAUCUCCUACCAGUGGCCGUUUGGAUGUUUUACAACAUGGUUAAAUCGCAAAAGUUCAAUGCAAAUUUAUUUUGUUAGUUGAUGGAUGCUUAUAAUUCAAAGACAAUCCUCUAGAUUAUAUGUAACCUCUGCUGCUACAAGUUUGUUCCGAUGUCUUGUAUAAAAAUUGCUGGGAGAAACUGUCAGGGAUUAGUUCUUAUCUUCAAAGUUUUCACCAAGUGUUAAGAACCCAUAAGAACUAACAGGCCCGCUCACCUGCGGGACACUGUUUACGGGACAGAAAGGGACGAAUCACUCACAGCCCUUGGAUUUUAAGUGAUUAAAUCUUACGGCCCUAAUCUAAACCUAUUAGAUUCCAGUUCUGCAGUUCCUCUUUUACCAGCCUCUGCUACCCAGAUCUCCAAGUUCUUCAUCUGUUUAUCCCUUCAUCUCACCAUCCUAUUUGUAAUUUCAUAAAGGUAUUUAUGCUAUCCUCUCUCAUCAUUCGAAGUGAUCUGUUACGGGUUCAAAACAUGUAAACUAACUCCAAANNNNNNNNNNNNNNNNNNNNCGGUGCGAACGUCCGCUCCACAGCGGGCCUGAUAUAUAUGUAUGUAUGUAGCUGUUGGGAUUGAAUCUUAAAUGGAAUCACACGCAUGUUUAGCAAUCUGUAGAAUUAGCAGCACUGUGAUUCGUAACUGUAAAAUGUAAAUAGUGCCGUGUAACAUUUAAAAUUUUGCAAGUUUUGAAGCACUGUUAUAUGUCUUCACACAAACAACCUUUGUCUCAUUUACUCAAACUGAUCUGUAAGAAUAUUGCUGGCAGCAACCGGGUAUUGGCGGUGAGGUAGUGCCACACCAGGAUAACUCAUUUCUUUAUACCGAACCACAAACUUGCACUGGGCUGUGGCUAGCCUUGGAAGAUGCAACAGUAGUAAAUGGCUGCCUGUGGGCUAUUCCUGGAUCUCAAAAGAGUAGGGUUCUCCUUUCAUCUUCUUCCUUCUAUAAAUCCUUCCUAACAACAUCUUUAUCUAUUUUGACUUUCUGUUGUGUUUAAUGUAAUCAAGUUUUCCUCUGAUUUGUCUUUGUUUGUGAUUUAGAUGGCCUUGUUAGACGGUUGAUUAGAGGUGAAGACGGUAUGACCUUUGAUCGUCCGUCCCCUGUGUAUGAUCCAAAAGAUUUUGUGCCUAUUGAAGUCAAAGCUGGGUCUUUAGUUGUUAUUCAUGGUGAUCUUAUUCAUCAAAGGUCAGUUACACUGUUUCUGUUCAUCCUUAUAGAAAUACAUGUGGUUUAUCUCAUUUGCUGGAGGGUCUGAAAGGUCUCCUUAUGGAUUUUUCCUGUCAUCCUUGGACUACAGUUUCGAGAACCAGUCUUCAAAGUCAAGGCAUGCAUAUAGCGUGCAUGUGGUGGAUACAGAUGGCUGCAAAUGGGCUCCAGAUAAUUGGUAAAAUUUUACAUCGAUUGUUUAUUUAUUUCUAAGCUUUGCAUGUUGUUUCAGGAGUGACUUGUGCGGUCUAUUUAUUUUCUGGUUUCCAUAGCUUUGAAGUAUGGAUCCAAACUAUGAACUUUUGUGAGUCGCAGAAAUUGCUGAGUGUACCAGUGUUUGAUGUGUGAGGGAGAGUUUUUUUUNNNNNNNNNNNNNNNNNNNNUCCUUCCUCUCUCUCUCUCUCUCUCUCUCUCUCUCUCUCUCUCUCUCUCUCGUCGUUCUUCAUCUUCUUCCUUCCUUCCUUUUUGGGUUGUUCUUAGCAAAUAACUGCUCCUCUUAAACCAUGCUCCUUUUAAGCCGAAAUACAUGAUGGCAUAGCUUGCUUGUUUUGAUUAUGCUCAGUCUCAGCUCUCAGCUAGUCUCAGCUCUCCUAUGGAGUUUUGUCGAACUGGUAUCAACGUUGCUUGUUGAGUUGGUGAUCGAUAAGUCCAAAAUAAUCAUCUAAAUUCAUGGUCGGGACUCGGGAGUAUUUACCAUCUAUCAGAAAAGGCUGUUGACUUGCAAACGUAUACAGUUUCUAGUCUCGCGUCAUCAAUUCUAUCACUAGCUAGUAAUUACCACUGAAUCGAGUGAGCGAAACAACCAAAAUUUUAGGCAUACAUUAAUAGAUCGAAUUAGAAAUCAAAUGAACAGUCUGGUCUAUAAAUUGCCCUGGCAUGCAUAGUACUACAAGUAGGUAUGCCUUACCUCACUUACUAAAUUGGCAUUGCAGACAUUGGCCCCAGUCUUUCCCUAGCUGUCCUUCUAUAAGAUUUGGAGAACAGAGCUAGGAUUAAUUCUCAUUGCGGCCAGCAGCCGGCCGGACAUCGCAGCUAGGUUUAUAUGGCCGGUUGAAUGAGAUCAGAAAAUGUUUCGCGGGGAUCGACAAUCUUCUGCGUUUGCCUUUAGUAUGCAUAUGCAAAUGCAGCUAGCUACUAGCUCCUCCAUGAAUGUUUCUCUCUCUCCAUCUUUCUAGCAAGUUUUCCAGUCGAUCGAUUUAGUAUUCAUAUAUUGACAUAUGAGAGCUUGAUAGUUAUGCAUAUGCAUUGACCUUUCAUUAACGGUGGACCUUACUCCAAAAGGGAUAAAAUACGAUGGCCGGAUUCCAUAAAAUACGAUGAACUUCUAUAGAAAUAGAAGAGGUACGUACAUACAAGUUACAUCAGCAAACUACCUAUGCAAUUAAAGAACGUGGACACGAACCUUACUCUAUCUUCCUCUGCUUUUGAACAAGUAGACCGAAGAAACAAAUUUGGAAGAAGCAAAUACAAAACCGGCCCGAUCAUAAAGAUGUGCCGCAUUAUUCCAUGAAAGUUAAAGAUCAGGCAAGCAUGCAUUGAUGCAUACUAUUAUUAUUACAUGAAGAUAUAUAUAGUUACAUGCUUAUUAAAAUGUUCAACGAAAUUGAUAGUACUGGUCGAUCUGGCAGGAGAUCUGCAGUAGUGUCUGUGCUUGUGGUUAUGCUUAUAGGUAAUUUGGUAUCCUUACUCCUUAGCACCCUUAAGAUUUUCGCUCUCAAGUGGAAAGAGCUCCAGAGUUUGAUUUGCUCUACUACUUUCUUCGAAUUCUCCUCUGUAAACAUUGGUUGCAGUCAAUACCAUACCGUAAUCAUAAUCAUAAUAGUGAUGAAAGUCCAAGAGCUUUGGACAAACAAAUGUAGCUGACGCAUUUGUGUCUGAUGCCGGUCCAGGUGAAUCGGAUUGCUUCACAAGUUGCCUGGAUGAAUUGCUUUUCACCAUGCUCAUCAUCAUCCUCUCUUGCAGUAUUGAAGAUGAUUCCUGAGGACAUACAGUAACGAUUGAAACUCAUGCAUAUAUCACGCAUUCAAUAUUUCUAUAUUUUCUUAAGAUUUUUGGUUUACCUGAUCAGAGAGAAUAGUGAAGUUGUUUGGUAGAAUCCACUUAUUCUGCUGCUCAUCUUCAAGAGGAAGAACCAAGUCAACUGCAAGUAAACAAUGUCCAUAAUUUGUUAUAAUCUCUCAAUUAAUUUUUUCCCACCUAGUCAACUAGUAAGUUUUGAGCCCUAGCCCCCCAUUACCUGGGGAGGGAGCCAUAUAUGUGUCCAACCAGAGAUUGCAUGCAUGUUAAUAAUAAAAAACGUGCUAAUUAAUUGGUACCUCCUGCAGAUCCUUUGUCCUGGAGACUGCUAACCGUGUUGUUACUCAAGUUUUGUUGUUGUUCUUUGGAGUCAGACUGAUACAUGGACAUGAGUUCACGGCGUCUGAUCUUCUGCCUCUCCCUGGCUCGGUGGUUCUGAAACCAGUAGAACACAUUCUUGCCUUCAAUCCUCCCAAAGUUUCGAAGCUGCGCAGUCAGCUGUCGGAUUUGUUGGGCCGUCGGUGUCUUUAACCCAUGUCGAUACAGCUCUUCCAGAGCCAUUAGCUGAUGCGGGGUUGGACUCCAUCGGGAAUUUCGCCAAGGAACUGCAGACUUCGGUUGUUUAUUACUAUAACAACAACUUCUGCCUUGCUCAGACGACGUCACUGGAAUCACUGCAUACAUAGUGAUCAUAUUAUUAUACCUACCCACAGAAAUGACAGAACAAUAAUCACACUAUCAAAGUAUACAAGGUUCAUGUACGUACUCUGAUAAUGGUCGUCGUUGAAUGGUACCAUAGGGUUCUGGGUCAUGUUGGAAGUAGAGUUUUGGUCUGGAGUGAGUAGAGGCUGAAGAUUUGCAGGUUUGAUGGAGUAGUCAGGGAGAUCCCUACUAUUGUGUAUUUUAGGGUCUUGGCUACACCCCUUCAUCAUCCACAUCACUGAUAAUUAUUGAAACGAGGAUGUAUAUAUAUGGUUAAGUAGACAAUUUGAAUCAUAUGAACAAAGAUGGUAAGGGGAUGGAGCUAGAGAGUGAAGCAUGCAUGCAUGUAUAUAUGCACCAUAGUUAUUAUAUAUGAAGAAGCAGUCGACAUACGCACGUAUAUACGUUAUAAUUUUUUUCCACAUUUAUUCUCUUUUAUAUGAUUAUAUAAUUAUAUCUCUUGGCCACUCCCAGCAACUACGUACGUCAGCUGCUGUUCUUCUCUGAUCGACAACUUUACAUAUUUGAUUAUCGCUUGACAUGGGAUGACCAGUGAUGAAACCAGGAUCGCAAGCUUAUUUAAAUUACUGUUAAAUUAUUUUUCUCAUUUGAAGAACUCGCUAAUUAAAUAACUUUAGCUUUUAUCUCAAAGAUUUGAACACAUGCACAUUCCAAAUAAUAGGGUAAAAGUUAUAAAUAACCCUCACAGUUUGGGGUCAUGGUUACAUUCGUCACCAUGGUUUAAAAAUGAUUAAUUUUGAUCCUCGUGUUUUAUAUAUCGACUAAUUAUAGUCCAAUGAUAACAUUUUGUCUAACACCGUUAAUGAGGCGCGCACAUGUUGAGGCAAUUUAUCUAUAAAAUAAUGAAUGAAAAUAACCAUAAAUUCUAACACCCACAAUCAUAAUAAAGUUAAUAGGCAGUAUGAUUUAUCCCAGAUAUUUGCAUUGGAACUCAACCCUUUGUGCGAUUAAGAUGUAAAAUUUAAAACCAUUAUUCAUCUAUCAAAGUGCAAAAAAGUCAUUAGAUUUAAAAUUUUGGGGGCGGAUCUGUGACAUACAAGAUUAUAAUCAAAAUUAUAACCAUAAUAUCAUCUAUUAGAUCCAAUAACAACUAACGGUUAAGAUUAGUCAUAAAAUUAAUUUUUUUUUUCUUUAAUUCAAUUUAUGAAAUCUAUCUAAAUAAAAAUUGAUGAUUACUAUUCUCCAUUUGGAAUAUAAUUAAGAGGAAAUAAUUUGUUUCCUAUUGAAACUCGUUUACUAGAGAGAAAAGAAAACAAAUUAAGUCUCCAAUCUAGUACGUGCAUCUUAGACGUACUCAUUUUAGCUUAUUGUUAUUCAUAGCACAAGAUGAUACGAGUAUUUCCAUACAUAAUCUGAUUAUAAGUUUUCAAACGUGUUAUGACAGACAUCAUUUGAUAAUUUUUUUUCUUUGAAGAAAAAGAGGUAGAUGAUGAUAUAUAGUACUCUCUAGUAAAUGAGUUUCAUCUGAUAUUUAUUUUUUUCUUUUUUUAUCUAGUAAAUGGGUUUCAAUAGAAAACCAUUAACUUUCUUAAUUGUAUUUCAAAAUGAGAGUAGGUAAUCAUCAAUUUUCAUUAUGUUUUUAAUCAAUAGAUUUUCUUAAUUGAUUUAAAUAAAUUGAAAAGAAAAGAAAAAAUAUUUAGUUUUAUGACUUAUCUCAACCGUUAGUUGUUAAUAUAUUUAAUGGCUGAUAUUCUUGUUAUAAUUUUGAUUAUAAUCUUGUAUGUCACGGAUCCGUCCUCUAAAAUUUUAUAUGAUCUGGUUUGAUUCUAGUACGUAUUCGAUAUUCUCCAUAAUUUCAUACAAAACUUUGGCAAUUUGUAAAAAAGGUCAAAAGUAUUAUGGGGAAGUGAAAGGAAGUGAGAAUUUGGAAGAUUAAUUUGAUCAACAAGACAAAAAACAAGGAUAAGAUGAAGAAAUAAUUUCUUUUAAUACGCCAUGACAAUUAUGCCUAGGUUUUGGGAGUUCUUCCUUAUUCUUAGUAAUUUGUUUUUUCAUUUUCCUUAUAAUUCUAUUUAACUUUUAUUUUUUUGUUUGAUAAAAAAUGUAUAAGACAUAAUUAUCUCAUGAUGUCGGCGUAAGAAUUUUAUUAACGGUGUUAGACAAAAUGUUAUCAUUGGACUAUGAUUAGUCGAUAUAUAUAUAUAUAAAACAUGAGGAACAAAAUUAAUCUUUUUUAAACCACGAUAAUAAACAUAACCAUGACUCCAAACCACAAGUACCAUUUAUAACCUUUACCCCAAAUAAUAUUUAGCCGAGCUCAAUAUCGAUGAUAAAGGACAAAUUUAAGUAACUUGGCCACAAUUACAUAAAGGAAUUGAUUAAUACACCACUAAAUUAGUAGUAAAUUAAUGUAAAUUGACCAAUCAAACUUAAUAACAAUACCAAAACAAACAAAACGUGUGCAGUUGCCUGGUUAGGGUGGGAGUUCACUUGGUUGCAUUAUUUUAUAGCCAAAAUAUCAUUGAAUUGGAAGAGUCUCGAAUUGGAAACUAAAUGGCCAUCACCUUCAUUGGACCCCUUCGUACCGUAUGACGUUAUCCCGGAUGACAUCACCGCCAUAAUAUAAUUGGCAAUAAUUGAAGACCAUCUUUUUUAUCGAUGAAAAUUGAAGACCAUCUUUAUGAUUUCAAGUGUAUCCUAGCUAACUACUGACAGUAUACGACUUUUAAUUUCUGGAUUAAUUGAUGCGCUAGCCAGCUCGAUCGUCUGUGCUUCUCUCGAUCAUCUUCUUCAAUACGACUCUUCUCUGCCUCCUCCUCAAAUCUGAGAAUCUGGGGAGAGUAAUUUUCAAUUUAAGUCUCGAUCGGAUCCAUUCCAUCCCCGUGAACGCCAUAAACGUCGAGCACAUGCUGGCUGCGUUCGUUGCAACCCUAAUCCAACUAAUUAGCACAUUGAUCCUCACAUUCACUUUUAAUUCUGAUCGAGCUAAUACUAUAAUAGACCAGAUCAUGUCCCUCCUGAUUGGAUUCCCUCCGGUUUGAUUUGAUUGAGCAACGGACUGUUCACGUACUGUUUGUUCUUCUCGAUCUUUCUCAUCAUUAAUGUACGUUCAUCAAGGACUACUUUCCCUGCUGAAGGGGUGAGUUCUCGAAUACGCCGGGAGUAACUUCAACCAGUGCGAGACCUGGAAUAUCAGUAAAACAAACAGACCGUUAUCGGUAUAAUGGUUAGACCGGUACGGUUAAAAAAGACUCGGAUCCUGGAGCCGGCAUUUCUGUCCCUCCAUAAUAGUUGUGUGGCCGAAGAUUCCUUAGUGUGUAUGUUUUUCUGUUGAGCAAAUUUUCGAUAAAUAUCCUGGAGAGGCAUUUCUGUCCGUCCAUAAUGCUUAUUGUUUUGUUGUAGCUAGCUAGCUUGGCGGGGGAUAUAGCUACUCACCAAGUCACUGUAAUACAAAUGAUCGAUCGAUGAUAUGAUAUUUGAUAUUUCAUUCAGUCGACCUGUUGGUAGUUGAUCAGUAUUAUUAACACGCCUCCCACGUUCCUCCAUAUUAUGCAGAUUUCGCCAUAACUUUGCUGUCCCUAGCUCGCAAGCUCAACACGUUCCUCCAGAUAAUAUAUGCGGAUCGAUUUCGCUGUAACUUUUGCUGUCCCUAGCUCGCAAGCUCAACACGUACGUACGAACACUGUAGUUUUUCCGUUAAUAACCUCUCCGAUUAAAUCUCAUUAUGAUGACAUUGGGGCCAGUACGCCUCCGAUCAGCUGCUGUUCCUCCUCGAUCUCUGAUCCUUCACACAAUUGAUUAUUUUUCAGAUCAUUACUAUUGAACAUAGACGAUCGAUCGGAUGACAUCACCGCCAUGAAUAUUUGUCAAUAAUGCGAUACCAUCAUUAUGGUUUCAUUUGAAUCUAUACUAGCUAGCUAGCCAGCUACAUUUAGAAUGAACCAAGUAUAGGCUUUUGGAUAAAACCAUAGGCUUUAACUACGACUGAAAGUUGACACAUCUCUGAGUUGCAUAAAGAUCAGACUGAGGGUCGUGAUCGAACCCUUACCUCACUAGGUCAGAUUUUUGCCCUAAUUGUGGCUUGGUAUCAUGGUAUGCAUAUCCAGCUACUAGUUCCUCCAUGGAUAUUUCUCUCGCGAUCUCAAUAAUUUACAAUCAUUGAUGAUUUUCAAACAAUUUUCCAAUUAAUGGAACUCGAAAAAUACCUUGUUAAGAUGUCAAAGAGGGUAUCAACCAUCCGUAGAGUUUGUUAAUUAGAGAAUUUAGUUACAUAUGAGUUUAUAUAAUUCUGCAAGAGAUCCAUUAAUCCGAUCCAACUCUGUUUUCAGAAUAAGUCAUUAUCAGUUUCCUCCGGUGUCUCUCGAUUGUACAUGAGAGCUUAGAGAAAGCCUGAAGAAAAUGUAUCAAACUGAGAGAAAAUGGAAACUCUUACAGUCUUACUCGUAUUAUGGUGGAACUAAUGACAGAUGCAAGUGUUAGGGCUCAGUAUUGAUUUAUUAUCUAUAGUAGACUAUUACAUAUUGAUGACUAGCUUACUGACACAGAUAAGACAGAUUAAGCUACUAACAUGGUCGCCGAUCACUUUGCUAAAUUAGACCGAACUUAUUCUCAAAAUUGUAUAUAUAGUACUUUAUCCUUGUUAAUUACUGUUUGAUUAAGCCUCGUAUAAGAUCCUAAUGGAAUCUUUGUAAUUUUGUAUCUUACUUUAAAAAAGAAAAAAGAUUAAGCUAGAAAUGAUCAUUGGGCUAAUUAAUUAAGCUAGAUUAAGCAGCAGUGUCAUGACAGAUUAGGGCAAAUUAAUUAAGCUAAUUAACUAAUCACUACAGUUAACACUUUAUCUUCUUUCUUCGUUUUUUUUGGCUUUGUUCUCAGCUUUGUUCCGGGCUUCUUCUUCUUCUUCUUCUUCUUCUUCUUCUCUCUCUCUCUCUCUCUGCAGUUCUGGAAUUCUAAAUUACCACUGCUCCUUUUAAGCCGAAAUGCAUAAUGGCCUUGCUUGUUUCGAUUAUGCUCACUCGGGGCUCUUGGACGGCUCUAUUAUGGAGCUUUGUCGAACUGAGACUCGAGGUCGGCCGUAGGAGAAUAAGUGAAUAACCCUAUAAACGCGUUGCUUGUGGUAUCGGUGAUCAAUAAGUCUCAAAUAAUUAUCCAAAUUCAUAGUCCGAUGGUCGGGAUAUAUAACGUAAUUUCCAUCUAUCAGAAAAGGCUAGGCUGUCGGUAUAGUUUUACAAGUUAGUUAUUUACAGUUUCAAUUCUAGGGUUUGUCAGCUAUAUUUACAGAUCUACGAGGCCCGCACGUACACGUACAGCAGAUAGAUCUCGCGUCAUCAAGUUUCACUAGUAAUUGCCAUAAAAGUGGGGAUGAGUCGUAUAAAUUGCGCAGGCAUGCUAAGUAGGUAUGCUUAUUACCUCACUUACUAAAUAGGCAUUGCAGACUUUGGCCCUUAUCUGUCCCUUUCCAUCUCUAGUCCGGUGAGCGCAGGCUGCGCAGGCUGCGCAUGCAGCUCAACUUUAAUUUAUCUCAUAGCCGGCCGGUAGCCACUUGCAGCAGUUGGAGGCUACGAAAACGCGUCACGGUUGGCCCCUGGCUUUUAAGAUACAUGGUUGAAUGAGAUCAGAAAUUGUUUCACGGUGAUCGACCGUAUCUUCAGCGUUUGGCUUUGGCAUGCAUAUAUAAGCAAAUGCAGGUACUAACUACUCCAUAGAUGUUUCUCUCUCCAGAUCGUUCUUUAUAGCUAGUUUGCUAGUCAUUGAUGAUUGAGUAUUCAUUGCUGAAUUAUUUUUACCCACCCUCACCAAGUUUCAACCGUACAUGAUCUGUUUCAUUGGAGUAUAUACAUGCAGGAAAUUAAGGGUGUUCCUUAAUUAGCAUAUGAUUGUAAUUGUUUAUAAACUUUACAUAUGUUUCUAGCUCUUUUGGGGUUAUCAGUAUUAUCAGUAGUCUAUUAACUGGACUACUUUAGUUGAUAAUUAAGAUUCCUUGAUAAUCAUAUAUGGUACAUGCAUAUACAGUACAUAUACUACACGCAAAGCAAGCUACCUACGUUGGUAACGUGGUAUGAAUGUAUAGAAGGAACAAUGCUGGCCUGGGUACGGGUGCGACUAUAUAUCCAGAGACUCAGAGAGAAAAGCUAGGUGAGUAUUGUAAUGACCGAAUCGUACUAUGGAUACCAGCAUGCAUGAAUACACCGAUAUAUAACACCCUGACCAACUAUCAAAUUUUCCGACGAACGUAUUUUGGUUUUUGGUUUUUACUUUACUGACGGACGUAUCCAUGAAAAUAUGUAUAUGAAGGUUGCAUGACUGAUAAUUGAAGCUAGCAAUUAACAAAUCCAGUUAUUAAUGCCUUCUUUCUUUUCUUCACUAAUUCUGGAUGUAAAACCUAAAAUUAGCUCAUCAGUUCUUGUUUAUAUUAUGGGCCGGCGUUGAAGGAAUGCUAUACAAGCUAUAUAUGCAGCUAGCGUUACUGUUCAGUCGCAAGCACAAUAAUAACAGAAAAUGCAGGACCAGGCAACUCUGAAACUGAUCUUGAAGCUUGCUACUCAUGGCGGAGCCAAUGAAGAACCAGUGAAGGCCCGUGCUCCCAGAUAAAUAUUGAAUUUCAUUGGCUACUAUAUCCUAAUUCAUCGAUUAAAGGAGGAGGACGUACACCAAUCUUCCUCUUCCUCUACGUUGUUUGAACAAAUAGCUAGAAGAAACAAUAAUGGGAACAAGAAAAUACAGAACCGGCCUGAUCAUAAAGAUAUGCCGCAUUAUUCCAUCGAAGACGCCUAUGCAAACUUUUAUUACAUGGAAAUAGAAAUUUCUAGUUAUAUGCUGCCUUAAAUUCUUCAAAGAAAUUGAUAAUACUAUCUGCCAUGAAAUUUGCAGUAGUGUCUGUGCUUGUGGUUCUGCUUAUAGAUAAUUUGGUCUCCCUAUUAGCACCCUUAACAUUGUCGCUCUUGAGUGGAAAGAGCUCCAGAGUUUGAGUUUCUCUACUUUCUUCUUCUUCUUCUUCUUCUCCUUUGCAAAUAAUGGGUGCAGACAAUACCAUACCGCAAUCAUAAUCAUAAUAGUGAUGAAAGUCCAAGAGCUUUGUGUAACUUAAUGUAGCUGACGCGUUUGUGUCUGAGGUCGGUCUAGGUGAAUUCGAUUGUUCCACUAGUUGCCUGGAGGAAGUGCUUUGCACCAUGCUCAUCAUCCUCUCUUGCAGUACUGAAGAUGAUUCCUGAGGACGUAGUACAGCAACAAGUGAAACUCAUGCACAUGUGUAGUGUAAAUAUCCAUAUCACGCAUUCAAUUUAUUUCUUAAUUUUGUUGAGAUUUGGUUUGAUAAACCCUAGCUACCUGAUCAGAACGAACAGUGCAGUUUGGUAAUUUCCACUUAAUCUGCUGCUCAACUUCGAGACUUGAGUUUGUUAGUCCUGCGCGCAAGUAGCAGUUAAGUACAGUUACUCAGCCGUAGGUGACCUAAAGGAGUAAAGGUGGUGACCUCAACUAGUGUUGAGCCCUAGUUUUUUUUUUCUUUUUCAAGCCCUAGUCCCCCUAUUAACACAUACAAUGAUGUUAAUAAGAAAAUGAUGCUAAUUAAUUGGUACCUCCUGCAGAUUCUUUGUCUUGGAGACCGCUAAUUGUGUUGUUAGUCAAAGUUUGUUGUUGUUGUUUGGAGUCAGACUGAUACAUGGACAUCAGUUGACGGCGUCUCUUCUGCCUCUCCCUGGCUCGGUGGUUCUGAAACCAGUAGAAUACAUUCUUGCCUUCAAUCCUCCCAAAGUUUCGAAGCUGCGAAGUCACCUGUCGGAUUUGUUGGGCCGUCGGUGUCUUUAAGCCAGAUCGAUACAGCUCUUCCAGUGUCAUUAGUUGUUCCGGGGUUGGAUUCCAUCGGGAACCUCGCGAAGGAGCUGCAGCUGCCGGUUUUUUAUCAAUAUAAAAACAACCACGGCUGCUUCUGCUUGGCUGAGACGAUGUCACUCGAACCGCUGCAUACAUAUGAAUAUAAUUACUAUCACUAUGAUCACGUACCCACAAUAUAAUCAAAUCAUCAAAUUAGACUAGUUUGUGUGCAUACUCUGAUGAUGGUGGUGGUUGCACGGUAACACAGGGUUUUGCGUCGUGUUGGAAGUAGAGUGUAUGUUAGGGUCUGUACAACCACCGGUGCUACACUCCAUUGUCAUCCACAUCUGUAACUGAUAGAUAUUCAAACGAGAAUGGCUAUGCCGAGAAAGGGAAUGUUUAGGAUGACAAAGAGCAAAGAUGAGAAGGGGAUGAAGAGACUGAAUGAGGUACGGAUGUAUAUAUAGUCAUAGAGCUUGCUUCCUUUUUCAAUUCCCAAUUAACCAUGCAGGAAUAAUGGAAGAACACAAAAUAAAAGGAUGACAUUGAGCUUACGUAAACGAAGAGAGGGAAAUAAUGAUAGAAUUAAGUCUUCAUGUCUCACAUGCUCCCAUCCUCCUGACAAUUGCAUUUACUGUUCAACAAAACUUUGUCUGGACAAUAAAAUUUACAACCUUUUUUUUCCUAUUAUCCCCUUCAGUUUUUAUUUAAUUAUUUAUUUAUUAUGAAAUGCUUCACUAAAGUUUGUUUACUUAUGAAUUCUUCUAAAUUUUAGUUAUUGUAGCGUCUGAUAUAUGGAAAGGAUUCCUUAUUCCUUAAUUACAUAACAUUUCAGAUUACAGUUAAUUUCAAGUUUCUAUCAAACAAGCUAGUUUGAUCGACUCUGGUAAGCAAGCUAGCUAGUAAUUCCCAUGCAUCCAGAAAUAUACUGGAUAUAUAUGCAUGCAGAAUAUAUACACCAGAUUCCAGAUAUAUGUAGUAUAUAAAAGUAUGGUUUGAGAAUAAGUGCAGUACUGGAGCUAUAUAUAACGAUCUACGUAUAUAUAUGGUCUAUAUAUUUUGAAACUUUGCGUGUGCUUAUUGUUUUGUUGUAGCUAGCUUGGGGAUAUAGCUACUCAUGAGUCAUGACCAAGUCGUCACUGUAAUACAAAUGAUCGACGAUAGCAAGGAUUUUUCAUUCAAAUUGAUUUGUUGCUACGUAGUUGAUCAGUUAUAACGUAUGCACUUAGUUUAGAGAGAUACCAGUCGAACCCCCACCUAAACAUUUCCAGGUAUUGUCUGCAUCAGUAGUAAUUCUACCAUCAAUAAUAUCAUGACCACGCCGGCCUCCGCACCUUCGUCCGGCCCAGAUUAUGCAGACUUCGCCAUAACUUUUCUGUCGACUCUAGCUCGUGAGCUCAACAAGCACACUAUAGUUUUUUCGUUCUUAGUUCCUCCAAUUUAUUCUCAUUUACAUCUCUUGGUCGACGCUGGUCAGUACUCGAUCAGUAGUAGCCACCUCAGCUGUUGUUCCUCCUCUCUGACGUCUUUACAAAUUAUUCAGAUCAUUAUUGGACGUCAUUGGAUACUUGACGAUCGGAUGACAUCACCGCCAUGAAUUUUUGGCAAUUAUGGCCGACCAUCUCUAUGGUUUCAUUUGAAUGCUUACCUAGCUCCUCCCACUGUCUUUCUCCGAUUCGGUUAUCCGGUUUCUCCUUCUCUAAGCUUACAAUUCCUAAUCAGUAGAUGAAAACAAAUAUUGCUCGAUCUGUUCAAACAUCGUCAACAAGUUUAUACGGUGAUGCAUGGAUGCUUUUGUGGGAUUUGGUGAUUAUCAAAACGGAACUCAAACUAGUUUUCUUUUUUGGAGUAGUGUUAUUCAGAUCUUCUAUAGUAACUAGAAGUCUAGAACUUUAAAGUCAAACCGCAGAUUAAGGUCACUCAUGAACACAUGUAUCAAUCAUCGAUCUGUAGCGUUUAUUAGAGAAAUUAGUUACAUAAGAGUUAGUAUCAAAACCAUAAUCUCGCUCUGUAAUGUUUGGUUAAUUAGCCUUAUAAUAUUCGUCAAAAUUACUUGGAGAAAUCAAUACCAGUUCGUCUUCUUCUUCCUUAGUUUCCUUUAAUUUCGUGGUUUCUUCUACCUUUCGCUGUUUCACCAUGAAUUUUAGCACUACAUACGUAGGUCUGGCCACAGAAAUAAGAUCAAGUACAAAUCCUGGUUAGCUAGCUCGAUCAUAUAGCUCUAGAAGAUCUAGUAGAGAGCCCAUGAAUCAAGCUCGCCGCGACCAAUUAACUACUGACAGUAUAUGAUUUUUAAAAAUAUGGAAUGGUGCAUAUCCUAUCAUGCAGGACUUUUAAAUUCUGGAUUAAUCUGAUGUGGUACCUAGCUCGAUCGUGUCUGUCUUUUCUCAUCUUCUUCAAUGAAUCCGAGUUUCUUCUGGCUCUUCCUUAAAUCUGAGAAUCUGAGAAGAGAAAUUUUCAACUUAAAUGUCUGCAUCGGAUCCAUUCCGUCCCCGCGAAUGCAAUAACGCAGAGCACAUGUUAGCUGCAUUCUUCAUCCUGAUCCAACUUAGCACAUUGAUCCUUACAUUCAUUUAGAUUGAGUUAAUAAAUAGUGUAGUUCAUGACCCUCCGGAUUGGAUUCGAUCUGGUUUGAUUUAUUCAGUAUUCACUGUUUGUUCUUCUCUUUUUUUCAGUACGUUUUCUUCCCAGAAUCCUAGAAGUUACCCUCACCCAUCUAGUAAGCCUAACACUAGAACAUAUAUAUGACAGGAACUGGGAAGACAGAUACUUCCAUUUGCAAUUCCUUUCAGAGCCAUUCAUUUUUAGUCUGGUCAAUGUUGCAAAGGAGCUUUAAGAAUGAUCAAUUAAGUUACAGUACCUUGACUACCUUCCAUUGUUCCAUGAUAACUGAAAUGGUAGAAGUUUGCACUUGCAUAUGUAAAAACAAUGUAAUUCUGAGGAACAAAAUCAACACCUUAUAAUUAUAUAGCUGCAUAGCUAACUUAUACGCAGCUACAUUUCGUUCUCCCUUGCUUCUCAAUUGGAUUUACAAAUAAUAUGGCAAUAUGUGAGGCAAAAGAAUCAUGAUUAGGAAUAUGGAAUGAGUCGAUUCCCGAUGCAGACAUCUAGGUAAUCUUUUCUUUUUCUUUCCUAAAUCAAGUUUUUUGGUUACUAAUGAUUGACUAUAGAACGCAUGGAUUAAUACAUUGAUAAUUAACUACUCGAGAAGCUUAUUGCAGGUGCCAACACCUACAGCUGCAGCAAGAUGCCAUGCAGCAUGAAGGUAUGGAGUUUUGGGAAACACAUCAUCUGCAAUAAAAAGUACACCACCCAGUAAUGACGACAGCUUAUGUACAUUAUGUGCCAUCUUUAGCUCUGGAUCUUUUAAUGCUCUUUUGGCAAACGCUACCUGCAGGAAACAAUAUAGUUAACAUAAUUUUUUCAGGUAAUUAAGCUCUUUUUUUUUCUUUUUCUUUUUGGUUACAGCAAGGUAAGAAAGUUCAAUAAGCAGUCCACUAAGACAAUGCGAGUUUGCAGCUUUGUUUGGUGGGCAAAGGCCCAUAUAGAGUAGACCACAGUAGUUUCAGUUUAAGUUUCUCAACCUCAAACUGGGGUCAAUUUGAAUGGCGCUACUUUGCCACAGGUUUUUAUCAUCCCUGCUGGAGUACAUGUUAAAACUAUUGAAUUUGGUGUACUUCACUACACUAUAAUCUCAUAGACCAAAGGGAUUCCAUAUGUCUGCUGUUUUGUACAUAAAAGAGAUACUAAAAUGAAUCAUUUACAGAACCUAGAUAUCCAACAAACCCUUGGAAUGAUUCAUGAUUUCUAACAGAACAGUUUCAAACAAAGAGAUAAAAGAAGGAAGUAGAAAUUAAAAACUUGAUGAGAAGUAGUGGUCAAAGUACAGCAAGUUACCUCCAUCAUUCCAGUAUGAACAGCUGAAACCAUCAGAGGCUGGAUAGGGAGAAAUACCGCAGAAGCUGCCAUGAGGAAUUUUGAGUUUUCAUUUCUGAGGGCUCUUGAGAGGCACUGCAAAAAUAUAAUGCCCAAGUGUGCAAAGUGAUUAACUUUAAAAGAAAGAAUCAUAGAGCUAACCAAGUUGUGUCGGAAGAUAUUCCCUGAAUUAAAAUCAUUUUAAAAAUAUAUGUAUUAAAGAUCAUACUAGAUUAGGCUGUACAGAAUCUGUAAUUGGAAUCAGGUUUCUUUGUUAUCCAUGAUAAGUAGUCAAUGUGCAGAAAAUUCUUUCUAUACCGACAAAGCAAAAACGAUGCCAAAGACGAGUUUGAAGGAUUUUCUCCAACUUACCACUGUUGCUGUAGCUAUCAUUGUAUAGUCAGCCCAUCUCAAAUAUUUCCUUAGUUUUCCUCUAGAAGAAUGAUAUAAACUUGAGGCAACACCAACUCCAAUUAAUGAAUUAGCAUAUAGCUUGGUGUUUAGAUUCUUCCUGUUUCCCAAGGUAAACAUUAGGUAUGAUGUAUAUAAGAUCACUUUUAUGUCCAUCAAGUAAGUCUUACAUAAAAGUAUCACCUUGGGGCUUGGAUCCCAAGAACUAUGAAAGGAAGUGAAGUGAGCACAUUAACAGCUCUUUCUGCAAGGUCACGAUCACCUAAGAAUAUAGAAAGAACAGAAACAUUGUUCAGAACUGUUCUUUUUAUUCAGGAGAUUGAAUGCAAGGCAACAUAUAUCCAGAAACACACUUAGUUUCCAAUACCGUGAAUGCAACCCUGGAUAGGCUUCAAAAAUGGUGGUGCUUGCUGCCAUACUCGCCUGGAAAACAUGUAGACAGAGUUAAUUGUAGUGGAUUGCUUGCAUGUUGUACAGGGUAUAAUUGAAUUGGUAAAUGACCGACUCCAAAACUGUGGAAAUGCAUAGCCACUAUUUUAACUAUUUUUUUUUUUUGGUACAACUAUUUUAACUAAAUUAUUUCACCACAUAAUACUGGCUUUUCUAUGGAAAUUACUCAUCAAUUAGGUUUAUCACUCACUGCAUAGACAAACUUGUUCCAAUAGCCAAACUUGUACAAGUUGAGUGAGCAAAGUCCCCAUCUUGAGUAGUCUCUUCUGAUUCGAACCGUGAAGAAGGCACAAUAUGUACCCCAUGCACGCCCGCUAGGGCUCUACUAGGAUUCAAUGUACUCUGGGGACUCAUAAAUUUUUCAAAAGUAAGCCAAAGUGACUUUAUUGCCAGCAAAAAUUUGCUGGCAACAGCUGGAAGAGGUGUGCUGAAGGCGAGCCAAUGUAUUGCUUGUAAUUGUACCACUGCAAAACACAGCAAUAUGUCUAUGAAUUAAGAGCGCAUCACCCUGUUGAGAGAAUCCACUGAAUUUCAACUUAACCAUGCACUGAAAAAACACAAUAAUGACAUUCUUUAUCCAAUAAGCAAAUAAUUUGUUAUCCAGUUCUAGUUUAUUGUGGGUUCUGGGAUGGUCUUCAAUUACAAUCCAUGAAAAGGGGAACAAGAAUAACACUGGCCUGCAAUCAACAAACAGUUCGGACUUCAACUAGCCCUCUCCUACGGCAUGGAUUGGAAGAGACUCACACAUUACCAGCUUUUAAGUAUGCAAUAAACUCAAGUCAGCAUCUAGGCAUUCAAAAUUGAAAAUUUAUGGCUAUAUACUUUAAAUUGUAGACCAAAACGCAUUUUUUAAGUAUGACAGAAGCUAAAGUUUUUUACUUAAGCAUGUAAUCAGACAAAAUUGAACAUUAAUCUCAAUUUCUAUAUAAGAUCAAUGACAAAGUAUAUGUAUAAGAUCAAUGACAAAGUAUAGUACUUUAUCAAAAAGUGUCGGCAUAUUCAAUUACUACAAGCAAAGGAAACUCAUUCAAUGUAAUCCAGUAACAAUGUGAAUCUCUUUGGAAGAAAGAAAAAAAAAAAAAAAAAAACA
rnacentral:lncRNA from 1 species